AUGCAUUUUAACAAGUACAAAGAUAAACAUCAUCAAGAGUCGAAUUUGUCAUCUUCUUUUAUUAAUGCUCCCAAUGAUAAAACGCUGGUAAUGGCGUCUAAAGAGAAGAAGGAAAACAUAAGAAUGGGCAAACAGGCGGCAACAGUGUACGCAGCAAAGAUAAAGACCAAAAUACACAAUACCUCAUCAUUCUUCAAGCUUUCUUUGAAAGGCAACAACAAAGCUCUGGCUCUGGCUCUUGUUGCUCAGAAGCAGAAGAGCAGAGAGCUGGAGGCAGAGGUUGUGCGACUGAGGAAAGAUGCGCAGACAACUCAUUUUGAUCUUGCUCAUCAGCGUCAUAAAAACAAACAACUGUUUGGAAUUAUACGAGAGUUUUAUGACUCCUCUCUAAACUGGAUGUCAAAGGCAGUUGACAUUUUUUGUAAUGAUGAGGAUCCAGACAGUAUGGACAUGGAACACAACACCAGUGAAGACCAAAUCACUGAAAUGGGAGAGGCUGAGAGUUUGCAAAACAGACCUUUGUGUCCACCGCAGGAUAAUUUUCCGUCUGAACCCGUGAAUUCAGACAGAGAUGCUCCCAGCCAAGAGAGAGAGAGUCCAGCACAGCAAAACACCAUAUAUGACUCUGAAAUGGAGAUGACUGUUAGUGACAGUGCUGCUGAAAUAGUAACAGUUGAAACAAAUUCCAGAAAAACCUCCAGAGUUGUAGAACAACACCAGGAAAAGAAGGAUUUGUGUCUGUCAGACAAAGGUAGUGAGUUUAUAACUGCAAAGGAAGAUGUACCAGUUGAAUUUAGUAGAUUAGAAUAUACAUCAGCUGUGCCAAAAGAGAUGAAUGCUGUCACACAGCAGUGCUCUCCCACUGUUCAGAGCGAGGUGGAGAAUGGGCAGCAAAUGGAUUCAAUAACUGCACGCAGGAAGACUCAUGUCACCUCUCGUUCUUCUAAAAGUAGAAGACGCACAUGUAAACUGAAAGAAACAAACCCAGAUCCAAGAAAAACAUACCUGAUCUCCCAAGAUCCUCCUAAUGACAUUUUUAAUGAUUGUUUUAGUGAUCUUGAGCUUCAGAAUUUUGAAAGAAGCAAGGCAAUUCCUUCACAUGGAAAUAUUUCAAAUAAAGCUGCUAAAAGCAAAGCUAAAGAGUCCCAUGCUACCCGGGAAACAAGGAGAACAAUUACAGAUCAAGCUGAGCUAAGACCUCAGAAGAGCAGGAAGACCAAAGUCUUGUCCCUUAUGAUGGAUCACAGUUUAUCGGAUAUGCAUGAAAAUGUUCAGUCUGCCAGUGAUUUAUGCCCAGAGACUGCUUGUAUGGAUGUCCAUGUCGAUGAGGCCGCAGUUCAAAAACAUAAAAACAAAACUCCAGCACAUCCUCUUCCUCAGUCUGAAAAGUGCAAGACACAGAAAAACAGAGGAACAUUUGUGAUACAGGCAAGUCAAUCAUUAAUCACCAGGAAUUCAUUUUUAAAUGAAACCGAUAUAUUAGAAGAUCCCAGAAGAUUGGAAGGUUUACAGGAAGUAAUAUCAGAAACCCAAACGACACCUCUGAGUAUUGGUUCAGAUAAUAUUGCACAACAGCACAAGGAGCCAGAGCAUGAUUUUCCUGAGAUACUGACCGAAAACACCUAUCAUCCAGAAUGUUCACAAGAUGUGAAUGUCAGCGUUGUACAGGAACCCUCUGAAUUAAUGCCAUCAGUGACUGGCAAAGCCAAAAAACACAGAAAAGAGGGGGCAGAUAAAAUAAAAAAGAAGAAAGCUGCUGCUGCACCAAGAGAAAAUCCUAAAGCAUUAACAAAGAAACUAAACAGUUGUGCUGUGAGUGUGGAUGAAAAGCUGUUGACUAAAAGGCAAGAUGAGACUGAUCUUCAGAAUGGAGCAGGAUGCACGUCUUUGUCUAAUACUUUACAGCUACCAGUAAUAUCUCAUUGCUCGGCCUCAAAGGAGGACCUCAGGGUUGAACACAAUGCUGAAACCCUUGAAAUUAGUUCCCCGUCCUCUGUUGAUAAGCUAGAUCAGACUGACCAUAUCAACGUGGACUUUCUUAGCAUAAAUCUGGAUCAAACCAACCAAGCUCUUGAGGGCAGGUGCAGGAAAACAUACGUUGUUUCAUCUUGUGAUGAAUCACCCCUUAAGGAAAAGACUGACAGUGGGGCUUCCAGCAACAUUUCUGAACAUGAUCUUUUUACUGAUGAAAUGGAUAAUGUUUCACCUGUUAUGAACAGAAGCAUGUUUGUCAUAGAAAAAUACAGUGUGACUUCAGAUGGUUUUAGUGGACCCAAAAAAGACCUUCAAUUCACAGAAGAGAGGCCUCCCUGGGAGACCCUUGAUGGUUACACUGAAGCACUCUUAGAUGAAAGCUCUGCCCACAGCCCUCAACUAGAGACCCGCUGUCAAACUAUGAACAUUUACCAGGACCACGACUCAGACCUGAGGCACCAAGCUCCAGAAGAAGGCAGGGUUAUGAAGAGUCUAACAAAUACAGGGCAUAACUCUGAUUGCGGGAGAACACGAAGAAGAGCAGCACCAGUCUCAUACAAAGAACCAGCCCUCAACUGCAAGAUAAGGCGUGGGGACAAAUACUCUGAUACAAAAUUCUUAAACUCUCCGGUGUUCAAAGACAAAAAGAAGAAGAAACGUGUUAAGGAGUGAUUUACUUAUUUUUUUCAUUUUAUUUGGUCUUUUUUAUGUAUUGGAUUUUAAUCUAAUUGUUUUUAAUCACAGCUGUUAACUUGCCUUCAGAUCUCAGCUCUUUUUCAUUCUUGUGUAUAUAUAGGAAAUAUUGUUUAAAUUUUAGAUUAUUUUAUUGGUUAAUAAAGAAAACUUGCUCUAUUAAGAUGCUGCGUUCUAAUUUAUUGUCAAUUUUGCUUUUUAUCCCUCUGUUGCAUUCAUACUGGUCAUAUGGAAGUCAGCUGUUUGAUUAUCUCAUCUCUUUCCUAUCAAGAUAUAUGUAGGAAAGUCAAGUCUGUGUGUUUUGUAACCAGGCACUGGCCAACAGUGUUAAAGUGAUUGAAGGACUGAAUGAAUAAUUUAGAGGACUGUUCACCUGAGACGACUACAAUUCUGAGACAGAGUAGGAGUGUCUGUUUAACCGGUGUAUAUUGUAUGAGAGUGGACUAAAACUUCUGAUAUAUAGUUAUCUUAUUGUGCUGUCAGGAAGUGUUGGUAUCUGAGUUUUAGGUAAGUUUCAGUGAGCUUUCUUUUAAUGUGUUUUCAAGAAAAUGAUUACUUUCUAUUUGUUGAGGCGAUCUAUUUGUUUUAAGAAAAUGCACUGAAUUCAAAUGUUACGGGCUUACAGUCAAAUAAAUUUUUUUGGAGCAUCCCAAUUUGUAAUUUCUUCCAAAUGUUAAUCUCAUCAGAUGCCUUUGGUAACCUAACACUUACAAAUGUUUAUCUCACUUUUCCUGUUCGUAGGAAGCCAAAAUAUAGUUUGAAGUUUGCUUCCUGUGUUUAGUGUUGCCCCUGGCAGAGGAUUAACUACUAGGUAAAGUUAUACUCGUGGUGCUUUUUAUAUAUAUAACUUGUAAUAUUUAUUUUUCCUAAUGUUGCUGUUUUAAUUGGAUUUCUGCUAUUAUUCCUGACUAAAUCUUGAAAUAAAGACAUUAAGAAUCGAGUGUUUCAAGUGUCUGAAAAAUGGAGGUCAAGCGAGUGAAGAGAGAUGUUAAAACUUUGCUGUAAGUAACAUGAAAUACAUUCACAAGUGAUCGUAAAUUGUUCAUUUGUAAGAACACACUUGAACAAAGCUUUUUGAAAACUUUUUUUAGUGAUGAAUAUAUUGGACAGCGACUCAGAGAAACUGGUUUUGAUCCAAAGGGAAAAAGCUCUUCUACAAUGUUAGAUGAUUUGGUAAGUGAUCGAUAUUAAAAUUAAAGUUUAGGAUAGGUUUGUCUUAUUGAGAGAGUAAAGAUAUUAGUUGCUAUUGUUUUCGUUUCUUACAUUAUAAUAAAGUGAUUUAAGAUUAAGGCAUAGGGCUUGUUCUAUAUACAUCUGCAUAUUCAUAUAGGCCCAUUAUGACUUGGCUAUAAGUGUAGCUUUGUGGUGGCUCAAUAAAGAUAAUGGGAAGAAUGCAGCUGAGAAUGACUACACGUGAGUACUUUAUAUAACUGGUAUUUAUAUUUGUGCAAUAGAUUUAUUUUUAUCUGCAGUGUUUGCUUCACAUUUGGCAAUGAUAUGUUGUUUGUAGAGGAAUUGGCAGUUUAAAACAUAUUAGCCAGUACCCUAAUCACCUGGAAAGAGAAGCAAUGAUCCUUUCUUCCUUUGCUGGAAUGCUUCUGGUAAGGAGAACAAACCGGUUUCAACAGCAUUUAUGUUUUUGUCCACAAGCCAUAUCAUUUUUCUCUGAUUUUCAGAACAGCUUACCUAUAGAAGACAUUCUGUCUCUGUACAAUUGCAAACCAGUGUCAUCUUACCCUCAUAAUAAUACUAAGGUAUGUUACAGUAUUUAUUCUAUUAUGUUUGUCACCUGAGUGAACAAAUGUCACGCUGGAUGAGAAUGGGAAUUACAUACAUCUGGGAAAGAAAGGAAUCCUUUAAAUUGUUGUUUAGUCUGGCACUUUAUAUUAUGCAGUGGUUCUCAGGCAAGAGGGAUCUAUUUAGGAUCCUAAGUAAAUUUCUGUAACAUUUCUAUUCAGAUUUCUUUGUGAUUUCAGAAAUUUUUCUCAACAGGGCAAUAUUGUUCACCCAUUCUCCCUCUCUUAUCAUCCAUUUGCUAUGCUCAGUUCAUUCAAAGCAGUAGAUCACUCAAGAAAACACA
ensembl:lncRNA